GGAAUUGUGAACUUUGGAAGCAUUGAAGCAACAACAUUGGAGCAAUACGAUAAAAUCAUGAAUGUUAACGUCAGAGCUAUUUAUCAUCUGACCAUGCUUGCAGUUCCUUAUCUGGUCCAAUCAAAGGGGAACAUUGUCAAUGUAUCGAGUGUUGUAGGCCUUAGAUCAUUUGCUGGGUGUUUACCAUACGCUAUGUCUAAGAGUACCGUAGAUCAGUUUACUAAGUGCACUGCAAUAGAGUUGGCUUCAAAGCAGGUCAGGGUAAACAGUGUAAA